rnacentral:rRNA from 1 species
AACGAACGCUGGCGGCAGGCCUAACACAUGCAAGUCGAGCGAAGCCUUCGGGCUUAGCGGCGGACGGGUUAGUAACGCGUGGGAACGUGCCCUUCACUACGGAAUAGUCCCGGGAAACUGGGUUUAAUACCGUAUACGCCCUUCGGGGGAAAGAUUUAUCGGUGAAGGAUCGGCCCGCGUCUGAUUAGAUAGUUGGUGGGGUAACGGCCUACCAAGUCUACGAUCAGUAGCUGGUUUGAGAGGAUGAUCAGCAACACUGGGACUGAGACACGGCCCAGACUCCUACGGGAGGCAGCAGUGGGGAAUCUUAGACAAUGGGCGCAAGCCUGAUCUAGCCAUGCCGCGUGAGUGAUGAAGGCCUUAGGGUCGUAAAGCUCUUUCGCCAGGGAUGAUAAUGACAGUACCUGGUAAAGAAACCCCGGCUAACUCCGUGCCAGCAGCCGCGGUAA